GAUAAAGAAGACCUUUAAAGGUGUGGGGAAGGGAGCUACAGAGGGAUAGAGAAGAAGAAACAAAUAACACUAAAGAUGUUUGAAAGCUAUAGAGAGACAUUAUUUUAGAAGCUUACUUAAAUACAUGUGUGUUCAUAUUCAUACAUGCACACAUAUGUGUGUGCAUAUUCAGACAUGCCUAUACAUAUACAUAAAUGCAUAUGUACAUACAUACAUAUAUGCAUACAUGGCACAUGGAGUUUUUGGUGCUCUCUGUAAGGCCCAGUCACUAAUCAAAAUCUCACUACCAGACAUGGGAAAUCUUCCUUUGAAUUGAAGGUUGGAAGAAUACAAGAGACUCCUAAAAUAGUAUUUCUUAACCAUUUGGGAGCCAAAUGACCUUUUCACAGGGGUUGGCCAAGACCAUCCGAAAGCACAGAUAUUUACAUAAUGAUCCAUAACAGUAGCAAAAUUACAGUUAUGAUGUAGCAAUGUGAAUAAUUUUAUGGUUGGAGGUCACCACAACAUGAAGAAUUGUACUAAGGGGUUGCAACAUUAGAAAGGUUGAGAACCACCGGGCUAAAACACUAUAAGCCAUUAUCAUUGCCCUUCAUUGCUUUCCAAACCUUGAAGGUAAGGCCACACUGCUGAAGACACCACAUCCUUUGGAAACAGGACUUGGAGGAAUUGAGCUAGAACCGACCCGGGAAGCUUGUCACUGAGAACUGGUUCACGUUGAGGAGAAGGUUUAUGUAAGCUGCCAAGGGAGAGGAAGAACAGAAGUCCUGCCCAGCUGUGAAGCCUAUGAACCACGACAAUGACUGGAUUGGCAAGAUAUCCCCAGUGGUGCAGCAGUGACACUUUGAUCUCAGGGUUAAUCAACAGCUGUGACUAAAGGCUCACUCAGUAGGAGGAACUAGCCAUGUAUCUGUAGAUGAAGAGGCCAUAGAUCCGUGUCUCAGUUAGGGUUUUACUGCUGUGAACAGAUACCAUGGCCAAGAUAACUCUCAUAAAGGACAACAUUUAAUUGGGGCUGGCUUACAGGUUCAGAGGUUUAGUCCAGUAUCGUAAAGAUGGGAGCGUGGCAGCAUCCAGGCAUACAUGGGACUGGGGGUGCUGAGAGUUCUACAUCUUCAUCCAAAGGCAGACAGAAGACUGGCUCCCAUGUGGUUAGGAGGAAGAUCUCAUUGCUCAUCCACAUAGUGACACACUUCCUCCAACAAAGCCACACCUACUCCAACCAGGCCACACCUCCUAAUUGUGCCACUCCCUGGGCCAAGCAUAUUCCAACCACCACAACCUGGGAGCAGAACCUAUUGCCAGGUUCUUAAACCAAUAUAAUUUAUAACUGUAUUUUAAAUAGUUAUCCUGGUACCCACAGGAAAGUGUAGCUGUCACCCCUCAUCAAAGAAGCCUCCUUUUGCAGCAGAUAGAGACUGUUACAGAAAUGUACAAAUGGUCAAAAUGUGGGGAAUAGACAGGGUGGGGCGGAGGAGGGGAGGACAGCUCCAACUGACACAUCAGCAAUACAACCCCUACACUGAAGGAAGGCUCAGGGAAACACAGCAGAGGAUGGGACAGAAUGGUUGUGAAGUCCAGAUGCUUAGAAUGGCUGCUGCUACAUAUUGUCCCCUAGACAUAACCGGGAAAAUGUCCCCAUGAAAUCGUAACAGUAUGGUUACCUGACCAAGGCUGUCACGGCAGCACCAGUUGACAUGCCAGUGUGUACAAAGGAAAUUGCAUGUAGCCUUACUGAGAGAUGAACAGCUACUUGUGGUCAACAGCAGCUGAGAGAUACACGCUUUCUCCAUUGAUGAAUUCUGUACUGGAUGUCCAGUCCCAACCGUGCAGCCCCAG
rnacentral:lncRNA from 1 species